ACAUAGGUGUCCCGCGUUACUCGGAAAGAAUAGGCGUAAAGCGCGUGUAGGCGGAUGCUUAAGUCUGUUGUUUAAUCUCCCGGCUCAACCGGGAAAGGUCAGCGGAUACUGGGCAUCUGGAGUGGGACAGAGGAAGCUGGAAUUCCCGGUGUAGCGGUGAAAUGCGUAGAUAUCGGGAAGAACACCGGCGGCGAAGGCGGGCUUCUGGGUCCUCACUGACGCUGAGACGCGAAAGCUAGGGGAGCAAACAG
rnacentral:rRNA from 1 species